CACGUAGGGUGCGAGCGUUGUCCGGAAUUAUUGGGCGUAAAGAGCUCGUAGGCGGUGUGUCGCGUCGGCCGUGAAAACCUGCAGCUUAACUGUGGGCUUGCGGUCGAUACGGGCAUCACUGGAGUUCGGUAGGGGAGACUGGAAUUCCUGGUGUAGCGGUGAAAUGCGCAGAUAUCAGGAGGAACACCGGUGGCGAAGGCGGGUCUCUGGGCCGAUACUGACGCUGAGGCACGAAAGCGUGGGGAGCAAACAGG
rnacentral:rRNA from 1 species